GUAUUUUUAAUCUAAAUAACUAUAACUCAAAUGGAUGAGAUGAGGCUUCUAUCGCUUUGCAAGAAGAUGAUGAACAAAUCAGCAAGAAUGAUACAGGAAAAAUAGAAGAAAAACCAGCAAAGAAACAGAAAAACAUAAACCAAACCUAAAAUUGAGAACCCAAAAAUUGAAACUGAACUGCCUCUUUCAUAGAGGCUGCAAAAAAACCAACACAGAAAACCAAUUAGAGAGAUUAAUAUUCACAAAUUGAGAAAGAUGAAAUCUAGAAGAUGAAUUUCGAGAUACAUCACCACCCACCAUAACCACCACACAUCACCACCACCACCACCACCUCCAAUCUUCAACCAUCCUCACCAACAACAAAAAAAAGCAACAAAAAAAAAAAGCAAAUAAAUGUAUAGAAAGUAAGAUCGAACCAGAGGAAAAAAGGAGAAAGAAGCUCUGUCACCGCCGUCGCCAAACACCGCCGUGUUACCACGAAACGCCACUGGAACUCUCUAUAUCGAUCGGAACUCUCUCUUCCAUGGCCGAACUCGCUGUCUCCCACCGGCAAAUCUUCUCUCACUCGGCCACUCCCUCACAGGUGGUGGUGGUGGUGGUUGUGAUUGUGAAGGACGAGAUGGAUGGAAAGGGGGAGAGAAAGAGUUUGAGAAUGUUUUUUUUUUUUUUACGGUAAAGAGUUUGAGAAUGUUGAGAUUAUAAGAUUGGGGAAUUGGUGGGAUUCUUUCUUAACAUAGAGAUGAAAUAUGUGGGCUAAACUAAAUAUGUGUUCUCAUUCAUUUAGUUUAGUUGUUAUCAUGUUGUGUUUAGUGGAG
rnacentral:lncRNA from 1 species